UACAGGAGGGGGCAAGCGUUGUUCGGAAUUACUGGGCGUAAAGGGCGCGUAGGCGGCCCGCUAAGUCGAACGUGAAAUCCCCGAGCUCAACUCGGGAACUGCGUCCGAUACUGGCGGGCUUGAAUCCGGGAGAGGGAUGCGGAAUUCCAGGUGUAGCGGUGAAAUGCGUAGAUAUCUGGAGGAACACCUAUUGCGAAGGCAGCUCGCUGGGACGUAACUGACGCUGAGACGCGAAAGCGUGGGGAGCAAACAGG
rnacentral:rRNA from 1 species